ACCUUGGUGGUCUAGUGGUUAAGACUCUGCGCUUCCAAUGCAGGGGGCGUGGGUUUGAUCCAUGGUU
rnacentral:tRNA from 1 species